rnacentral:misc_RNA from 1 species
AAAAUGCGAUAAGUAAUGUGAAUUGCAGAAUUCAGUGAAUCAUCGAAUCUUUGAACGCACAUUGCGCCCGCCAGUAUUCUGGCGGGCAUGCCUGUUCGAGCGUCAUUUCAACCCUCAAACCCCCGGGUUUGGUGUUGGAGAUCGGUCAGCUUUCUGCUCACCGGCUCCGAAAUCUAGUGGCGGUCUCGCUGCAGCCUCCAUUGCGUAGUAGAUAACACCUCGCAACUGGAACGCGGCGCGGCCAAGCCGUUAAACCCCCAACUUCUGAAUGUUGACCUCGGAUCAGGUAGGAAUACCCGCUGAACUUAA